UCUCCCGCUACCUCCUCUCGGCUUGCCCUAGGGUUUCUACUUCUGCGCAUCUCGAACGGCAGAACAUCAACGUAAGCUCAGUUGUUUGUUCUUACUCAAUGGAUUCCUCCAUUCUAUUAAUCUCAGAAGCUGUUCAUCCGUCGCCGUCUAAUUCUAGCUCUCAAGUCUAUUCUAGUUCGAUCUUGCGCACCUUCCAUUGUAGCUCAGCUUCGCUUUUAAUGCUCUGAAGAAAGGAUUUAGGCAUGCAUUUUUAUUUUCAGUAAGUUGGGAGAGGGAUGGAGGUGGAGGCAAGAACACAUCAACAACAAUGAGGUG